rnacentral:rRNA from 1 species
AUACGGGGGGUGCAAGCGUUAAUCGGAAUUACUGGGCGUAAAGCGCGCGUAGGCGGUUUGCUCAGUCGGAUGUGAAAGCCCAGGGCUCAACCUUGGAACUGCAUACGAUACUGGCAAACUAGAGUGUGAGAGAGGAUAGUGGAAUUUCCGGUGUAGCGGUGAAAUGCGUAGAUAUCGGAAGGAACAUCGGUGGCGAAGGCGACUGUCUGGCUCAACACUGACGCUGAGGUGCGAAAGCGUGGGUAGCAAACAGGAUUAGAUACCCUAGUAGUCC